rnacentral:tRNA from 1 species
GCCCGGAUAGCUCAGUCGGUAGAGCAGGGAUUGAAAAUCCCCGUGUCCUUGGUCGAUUCCGAGUCCGGGCACCA